UUUUGCUUUUCAUCACCUGCAAGAUGUACAUAAAAAUCACAUAAGCUGGAAUUCAACAAAAGACCUCUGACUAUGUGAAGAUACGGUGGGAAGAUGACUGACCGCAAGACAGGAAGAGAGCCCUCACCGAGGAACCAAAUUGGCCAGUAUCUUGAUUUUGGAUUUCUCAACCUCAAGAACCAUGAGAAAUGAAUGUCUGCUGUUCAAGCCACCCAGUCAAUGAAAAAGUUUGGAAACCUUCAUCUAGAAAGUGGUCUAGCAAAGUGUGGUCCAUGGAUGAGUUUGAUCUGCAAACUGCUUGUUAUUGGUUCAUGACAAGGUCUACCAAUUGCAUUUUGAGAGCUCAGAUAAGCAGAGAGCAAUGCAAUUUGUCACAGAAGGAUGAUUAUGUAUAUGCACUGUCAUGUGUAUGUAUGUGUAUGUAUAUACGCUAUUUCCAUGCCUAACUCAAAGGAGACACAAGGAGAAAGUGAGCUCAGCCUGGAUAAAUUGGAGAUUGUGAUGACUUCUAGGAAGCCUCAGGAAAGAGAAACAAAGACAACACUGGCCUGCUGCUCUCUGCAAUGGUGGGACCCUUGUGGGAUAACUGUUUUAGGAAUGAAGGUGUCUACCCUCUCUAGAAAUGAAAAUGCAAGUUUGGCUGUGGUUAAGUAUUGGAUGGAGGCAAAAAGAAACUGACAUAUUUUCUUCUUUUCAAUUGUUUGAUUCACCCUGAAGGGCAUGGCUGCUUAAUUUUUUUCUCCAGAGAUAGGUGGACAGAUAAAGACAGGAAAGUAACAUCCACAGACUGCCCUCUGUGAAGGUGACAGUGAUGAAAGGAAUGCUUGAUCUGAACACUGGUAAAUAAAGUGACCGCAUAUUUCCCUAGCCAGGAGAGCAAUCUGGCUCAAAAGAAACGAGAACAAUGACAUUACUGCCAGGCUGCUCCUAAGCCUUUGGCUAUUCUGUUCAGUGCACAAAAAAAAGCAGUGAACAUAGCUGUGACCUGCCUUGUUGGUAGUAUCACAAUUCUUUGGGGCUCCACUUUAAGAAAUUGAGACCUACCUACCUUAAUCCUUGGGGGGUUAAGCUUUCAGACUGGAAUGAUAACUGAACUAUUCAUUUGCAGUAAUUCUGGGUUUUGUGCAUAUUUUAAAAAGGAAUACCGGGCUUGCCUAUAUUCAUUACAACGUCCUCCCAGCUUUCAAAUCUUCCAAUACAAUGCCUCUUCUCUAGUCUUUUAAGCACAUCCUGUGACUGGAUAUGAUUAUGGGAGAUUUACAUGCAUCCUUGUCUAUUGUAUCAAAAGAUCAGGGAAUAAAAUGCCCAUCAUUAAAACCCCAAAGUGAUUGGAUUGGCAUGAGGAAUGGG
rnacentral:lncRNA from 10 species